CUCGUAGGAACUCGGGAAUAAGGUCGCCCCUCCUGUUCUAUAGACUGGUUAUGAAAGUGAGACGUCAGUGGAUUACCUAUCAAUUAUCAAAGCACCAGUGACGUAUCCGGCUGUUGGGGAUUCCACGCCAUAGUAUUUUCAACACAACUGACGCUGGCAAUGUUGUGAGUGUUAUGGUUAUUGUGUAUUUGUGUGAUUUUUGUCAUGCUAUGAUUUACAGUGAUAUGUAUGAGGAUUUUCUGAGCUUUAUAAUGAUGUGAGUCACACAGGGUAUUUAUCCAUUGUUUGGGAGGUUUAUCAUAUUGUGAACUGCAGAGAUAUUUUUGUGAUUUCUGUACUUAUUAUACUAUGAGGUACAUGGGAACUAUUCAAGGUCUGAUCAUGUUAUGUAGUGAUUAUUUUUGUAUUUUUAGUGUUUCUACGCUCAUAUGAUUUUACCAUGAUUUGGUAUCGGGCUGAUUUAUCCUGGACCCACAGGUUGGAGCGCUACAAUAAAUGUUGCAACACA